GUAGUAGUAGUCGUAGUAGUAUUAGUAGUAGUAGUAGUAAUAGUAGUCGUAGUAGUAGUAGUAGUAGAAGAAGUAGUAAAAGUAGUAGCAGUAGGGACGGUACAGGGUGAAGUGUAGCAGUAGAGAAGGAAGGGAACAGGGUGUAGUGCUGGUAUGUCCCGGUGCUGUCAGUGCUGGUAUGUCCUGGUGCUGUCAGUGCUGUCAGUGGGACCCGACUCAUUGUCUGCCCUGUGGAGGUAGAUCGACUCUGAUCGAGAGAACCGGAUUAUUCUUUUCUUGUUGCACACUUUUUUCUUCACAAAAAAAAGGAAAUGUGUAAAUGUAGCAUAGAUCUAGCAGCCCUGCACUCGAGAAAAAUUGUAAUAUUAAAUAAUGCGCCAUGAGGAGGGAAAUUGGAAAAUGGUAACAUUCUCUUCUGUCCAAAGUCUGACUACAGUCUAGCUUUCAGGUCUGUCUCAGGUGUAGAAGGAAACAAAUCACAGUGAUCAUAUGUCCUUAUGCAGUUACGAGUGCUGUAAAAGCUCUACUGAAAAGGGGAAAAAAAGUGAUCAGUUGAAAACACUUUCCUUUUUUUUUUUUUAAAGUCUAUUUUAGCAAUAGCCUACCACAAAGUCUCCGGGCCAAAAGAGUAGGUAGACAUAGACCACAGCUACCUGUAGACUAAAAUGAUGAACUUUGAUCAAGUCUCUGACACCGCGAUCAGCCUACAGGUGACUAGUUUGUCAUCCAGUCUCUGACACCGCGAUCAGCCUGCAGGUGACCAGUUUGUCAUCCAGUCUCUGACACCGCGAUCAGCCUACAGGUGACCAGUUUGUCAUCCAGUCUCUGACACCACGAUCAGCCUACAGGUGACCAGUUUGACAGUUUUCCCGAGAAAGCUUUGGAAGAAGUUGAAGAACAUUUUGUUUGGUAGAGACACGACUUCCUGAAUGUCUACCGCGUUGUUAAUCGUAACUUUGAUUGUGCCGUAUGUGUCCACUGUGGUGGUCACGUCGUCGUGUCCACUUCUGCCUGUGUUGCCAGAUUGUCUUGUUUUCAUCUCUGCUCUGUGCCGCUCCUCUUCACGACUCAUAAAGCUUUUGUAACAUUUUUUUAAUUUUUUUUUUUUUUUGGACUGACAGGGAAGCAAGUGGUUUCACAAAUUUACAUAUAUGCAAAUUGUCAUAAACUCUGCUUUUGUUCUGUCCCUUCUCGGUUUGUAAUGUUGUUUUUUUACCGAAUGAUUUGUUUGUUUGUUUGUUUGUUUGGUGUACAGCUUUGUAUAUCUUCUCCAGCUAGUGGGGACAUUGCAUGUGUACAAUCGUACAGGUUUUGAAACCACAAAAAUAUUAAAAAAUGUGUGGAAAAAAAUGCUUGAAAACCAACCAGUCAAUAAAAUGCAAGUAAAACAAAAAGUGUUUGUUGUUUGUCUACAAUUCUCCAUCUUCUGUUGGUGUGUACAGCUUCUGUUGGUGUGUACAGCUACUCACUACGCACCUCUAGUAACACAUCUACUCUAAUCUUCGGCUCUUAUAUUAUAACCUUAUUGUGUUGCCAAGGAUGAUUCCCGACUGGAAGGGGGGGGGUUGGAUUAUUAUUUGUUGAAAUCUGUAGAUGUAGGUCGUUCUGCUGGGAUGUUGUAACCUCCCUAGUAGGUCGUUCUGCUGGGAUGUUGUAACCUCCCUAGUAGGUCGUUCUGCUGGGAUGUUGUAACCUCCCUAGUAGGUCGUUCUUUACUAUGCACCAUGUGCGUCCUGGGUCCUGUUGGGUCGUUUUUGACCCGUAGGCUAUAGAAAUAUACAUGUAUAGUUAAAUAUGCUGUCAGUCGUUUCUGACCCAUAUAUAAAUAUAGAAAAAUGUGUCGAGGGUCGUUUAUGACCCAUUUGCACUGUAUAAAAAUAGAAAAAUUUGCCGUGGAUCGUUUAUGACCCAUGCAUAAAUAUAUAGGAACAUAAUAUGUAGUGGGUCGUUUAUAACCCAUAUUUUGGGAAAUAUGGCAUGGGUUAUUUCAGACCAAUAUGAAAU
rnacentral:lncRNA from 1 species